rnacentral:rRNA from 1 species
GACGAACGCUGGCGGCGUGCUUAACACAUGCAAGUCGAGCGGUAAGGCCCUUUCGGGGGUACACGAGCGGCGAACGGGUGAGUAACACGUGGGUGACCUGCCUUUAGCUCUGGGAUAAGCCUGGGAAACUGGGUCUAAUACCGGAUAUGACUCUAUGGCGCAUGUUGUGGGGUGGAAAGCCUUGUGCGGCUAGGGAUGGGCCCGCGGCCUAUCAGCUUGUUGGUGGGGUGAUGGCCUACCAAGGCGACGACGGGUAGCCGGCCUGAGAGGGCGACCGGCCACACUGGGGACUGAGACACGGCCCAGACUCCUACGGGAGGGCAGCAGUGGGGAAUCUUGCGCAAUGGGGCGAAAA